AGACGGCCUUCGGGUUGUAAACUCGUUCUUUCUGGUAGGGACGAGCAAGGACGGUACCACAGGAAUACAGCCCGGCUAACUACGUGC
rnacentral:rRNA from 1 species